rnacentral:rRNA from 1 species
GACGAACGCUGGCGGCGUGCCUAAUACAUGCAAGUUGAGCGCUGAAGGUUGGUACUUGUUCCGACUGGAUGAGCAGCGAACGGGUGAGUAACGCGUGGGGAAUCUGCCUUUGAGCGGGGGACAACAUUUGGAAACGAAUGCUAAUACCGCAUAAAAACUUUAAACACAAGUUUUAAGUUUGAAAGAUGCAAUUGCAUUACUCAAAGAUGAUACCGCGUUGUAUUAGCUAGUUGGUGAGGUAAAGGCUCACCAAAGCGAUGAUACAUAGCCGACCUGAGAGGGUGAUCGGCCACAAUGGGACUUGGAAACGGGCCAAACUCCUACGGGAGGCAGCAGUAGGGAAUCUUCGGCAAAGGGCGAAAGGCUGACCGAGCAACGCCGCGGGAGGGAAGAAGGUUUUCGGAUUGUAAAACUCUUUUGGUAGAGAAGAACGUUGGGGGGAGUAGAAUGCUCAUCAAGUGACGGUAACUACCCAGAAAGGGACGGCUAACUACGUG